CCAAGGCGACGACGGGUAGCCGGCCUGAGAGGGUGUCCGGCCACACUGGGACUGAGAUACGGCCCAGACUCCUACGGGAGGCAGCAGUGGGGAAUAUUGCACAAUGGGCGCAAGCCUGAUGCAGCGACGCCGCGUGGGGGAUGACGGCCUUCGGGUUGUAAACCUCUUUCAGCUCUGACGAAGCGCAAGUGACGGUAGGAGCAGAAGAAGCACCGGCCAACUACGUGCCAGCAGCCGCGGUAAUACGUAGGGUGCGAGCGUUGUCCGGAAUUACUGGGCGUAAAGAGCUCGUAGGUGGUUUGUCGCGUUGUCCGUGAAAUCUCACAACUCAAUUGUGAGCGUGCGGGCGAUACGGGCAGACUGGAGUACUGCAGGGGA
rnacentral:rRNA from 1 species